rnacentral:rRNA from 1 species
GACGACCGCUGGCGGCGUGCUUAACACAUGCAAGUCGAACGGAAAGGCCCUGCUUUUGUGGGGUGCUCGAGUGGCGAACGGGUGAGUAACACGUGAGUAACCUGCCCUUGACUUUGGGAUAACUUCAGGAAACUGGGGCUAAUACCGGAUAGGAGCUCCUGCUGCAUGGUGGGGGUUGGAAAGUUUCGGCGGUUGGGGAUGGACUCGCGGCUUAUCAGCUUGUUGGUGGGGUAGUGGCUUACCAAGGCUUUGACGGGUAGCCGGCCUGAGAGGGUGACCGGCGACAUUGGGACUGAGAUACGGCCCAGACUCCUACGGGAGGCAGCAGUGGGGAAUAUUGCACAAUGGGCGGAAGCCUGAUGCAGCAACGCCGCGUGCGGGAUGACGGCCUUCGGGUUGUAAACCGCUUUCGCCUGUGACGAAGCGUGAGUGACGGUAAUGGGUAAAGAAGCACCGGCUAACUACGUG